rnacentral:lncRNA from 1 species
ACGUAUUCGGCAGCGGCUUUAAGGCAGUAAGUACUGCUCCGCGUCUCAGAAAAAUAUUCCCCUAGUGAGAAAACUGUGAAGCGAAAGCGGAUAGAUUGAAUUACAAAGUCUUCUCCCAUUCGCGUUAUAUUUUGUGAACUCUGCCUCUCAAACUCGAGGCCGAACGUCUGGCCGUGACUCAUCAUAUAACAAAAAGCAGAAGGCCGGAAGUCUUUUCCUACGCCCAGGAGGUGGACGCUGCCCCCCGGGGGAGUCAAGCGCCGGAAAUAGCAAUUGAACGUUUCCGCCGCUUUCCUGUCAAGUGCUCUUGCUUUUCGCCCUCAAACCUUAUGAAAGUGAUUGAAAGAUCGGUCUGGACAUUUUUUGGCUCCGCCACAGACUAGGGUCCACAGUUAUCUUACCUUUAAGUUCACCCAACUUUUAUUGAACAACUACGACGUGUCGGCGAGCUGCUUUUAAGUUUUUUCUGCUUGCAGUAGCCUUUGAUGGGCAAGCUAAAAUGUGACUUAAGUAUAGACACAAUUAAAAAAAACGUAGCUGACAAUAAGAUACUGACAGGUUCCGAUGAUACUAGCACAUAUAAAAAUGAACAUGAAUGAAUGGAGAAACACUUGAAGCAGGGAUAUGUACUGUGGGCUAUUAUAUCUUAAGUUUUUCUAGGCCUCUUCUGAGCUCCAGGCAUGGGAUAAAGCCCUGAAAAAAAAAUGGGGUAUUCAAAAAGUAAUAAAUGCUAUGAAGAAUACAGGAUAGGAGGAUAAGGAGUUGGGGAGGACAGGUGUGGAAGGUUCAGGCAGGAAAGGAUGAAACCUGAACUGGGGCAGAAGAUGAUAUUGAAAAGUAUUGUUCAACGAUCCCAGUUUUCAAGAACCUAUCAGCUUUUUAAAUAAGCAGCUCCGCUAGACUGCCCUCCUUCGGAGCAGGUUUUUUUUCUUUGUAUCUCCAAUCUCUAGCAUGGCUUCCCAAAACAUAGUAAAUCAUUAAAUGUUUGCUAUUGAGUAAAUACCCGCAGCGACAUUGUCUAUAUUGUGUUAAGAAUUAUUUUUCUCUCCAAAGCAAUAAUGCCAGAAGUGAGAAAUCAUCCAAGUACAGCUAGCAAUUAGAUUUUCCUUACUAAAAAACAGAAUUUACAUCUUUAAGUGUGACCUAUUAGUUUUCCUUUAUUUUUUACUUUGCAGUACUAGAGAUUGAAUCUACAGCUUAACACAUGCUCAGCCAAGCGCCCUACCGCUGAGCUACAUUUCCAGCUCUUAGAAUUUUGCUUUAAAAAGAUCUCUUAGUGGGGCGUGGUGGCACAAGCCUGUAAUCCUAGCUGUUUAGGAGGCUGAGGCCAGAGGAUCACAAGUUCAAAGCCAGCCUCAUCAAAUUAGUGAGACCCUGUAUCAAAACAUAACAAAAAAGGCUGGGGAUGAGGCUCCGUGGUUAAGCCCCCAUGGAUUCAAUCACUACAAUAAGUUCAAAAAAAAAAAAAAAAAACUCUGAAUUUUACAAGUCACCAGAUUCAAAAUAUGGCAACACCGUAUAGUGUGGCAUUCCAUGUAUUCAUUCUAUGUAUUCAUUCCACCAACAAAUCCAGCUGGGAAUAGAGUGAUGAACAAGAAAUUUUCUAGUUCUUUUGAUUGUGAAUAGUUCCAGAAGGAGAUAAAGACACAUAGCCCAUAGCCUGGCCAAAGAGUUCUCUAAAGAAGGAAAUUUAAGCUGACAUUUGAAAAAUAUAUAGGAAUGGUGCAAGAAUGUGUAGGAAUGGGUUUGUCAAAAAGCUUUUGAUAAUCGGGUCAGUAUGGCUAAAUUACAAUAAUCUGGGAGCAAAAGGGAAAGAGAUGAGUGGCAAAAAAAAAUCAUACAAAACCUAAGAGUAAGUCACUAUUUUGUGUAUUUUUUUUGUAUCAUUGGAUUCCCAGCUCUUUGAAUGGUUUCUGAAACUCUGUAGUAUUUAUUCAGUAAAUAAUGACUGAACAAAUGAAGAGAAGUCAUGAUCACAAGUGUUUUCCAAGUAGAUCACUGUGGCUGAUGUGUGAAAAAUAAAUUGGAUGGUGAAGGGCCAGGGAAAGUCUGUAAAUGAGAAAAGAGGGAGCAGAGCCAGGUAUGUGAUCUGUGCCUAAAGUUCCAACUACUCAAGAGGCAGAGGUAGGAAGAUUGCUUGAACCCAGGAAUUAUGGGCCAGCCAGGGAAACAUAGAGAGACCUGACUCAAACUUUAAAAAGAAAAGGAAGAGGAAGAAGUUGAGAGGCUACUAAAUAAUAUAGGCAAUAAAAAAUAACUUGAGUUUGGGGAAUGAUGGUGGAGAUAGAUAAGUGGUGUAUUUAGGAGGUAGAAUUGACAGGUUUAUUAGUAGUUGAUUUGAUGUGGGGGAAUAAAGAAGAGAGUAGUGUAGGCAUAACUUUCUAGCUGAUUUUCUGGCUGGAUAGAUGAUAAUCCCAGUAAUUUUCAGAGUUUCUGAAAGGCAAACAUUUUAGAAGGAGAAGAGCAUUGGCUCAGUUUUGGACUUUGAGUCAGGUUGAGUUCAAAAAAGAGACCUAAAUUGGAGAUCAAAAUGUUGUGGUUUAUCAGUUUCUAAGUUGUAACCAAAGCCUACUGAAUAAGACCACCUCAACCCCCAUUGAAAUUGUGAAGUAAAAAGAGAAAAGGGCCCUAGGACCAAGCUGUGAAGAGGAAGAACUCACAAAAGAGACUGCCAAAUUGGUAAGAGAAAAAGCAGAAUGUGAUGUCCAAGGAAAAAAUAAUUCUCUGAUGCUGGGCUGAGUAUAAUUUCGAGCCCAUAGCAAAUGUCAGAAUUUCAGAUUAAAUGUAUCAAAUAUGAAAAUUGAUAAGGCAUCACAGAAGUACUUUAGUUUGGGUCCUUUAGAUACAAAAAUAAAUACCUAGCAAUGGAGAUGAAGCUCACAAAUGACCUAUGGCAUAACCAGGACUUUCAAACCAAAAGCAUUAUUUUCCCAUUGAAAAUAAUUUUAAAAGUUGCCACACCUCAUUUGCUCUUUUUUAAAAUGUGUUUUUAGUUGUAAAAGGAGACAAUAACUUUAUUUUGUGUAUUUAUUCUUAUGUGGUGCUGAGGAUCGAACCCAGUGCCUCACGUGUGCAAGGCAAGUGCUCUACCUCUGAGACACAACCCCAAUCCCAUACCUCAUUUGAAUACUCAUAGUUAUUAUAAAAAGUAUUUCCUGGAGGAAACAUUAAGUCAAGCUACUUCCAUUUAUAAGAAAUUGAGCUAAAAUAAAUAAAUAAUAAAGUUAAAGAUCACAGGAUUAUAAUUUUAACCCUAUUUAUCUAGUCUUUCUUACAGUAUAUAAAUGCUUUUUUUUUCCAUUUCCACUCCAUCAUUAGCAUCCUAUACUCCUUUCCAGCUUACCUCGUAGAUUUCCUUCUCAUGAGGUAGUGACCCUUUGCUCUCUAUUAUUCUGAUGAAGUUCAGAAAUCAUGAAAAAAUAAAAACAUCUCAUUUCUAUGUUUGAUGCCUACCUCUGAAAAUUAUUUUAAUUUUAGUCAAUGUGAUAGCUGUCUACCUACCAGAGAAACAAAUCUGAGCUUUACUCCUAAAAACUCAAAGGUAAGUUAUUCUUAACCCCAUUAUUCGCCUUUAUAUUUUGAGAGUUAGGAAAAGUCAAAAGUAUGAUGGAGUAUUGGUUCUACGUUGAGUAGAUGUAGAAUUCAAUACGUCUGGUGUGGCAUAAGCCCAUUUAGCUUCAAGCCCAGAAUUAUCUUCCUUUUUCUAGUACCUAAAAUUCCCGUAUCUGUGAUUCAUUGUAAUCUUUUAUGACUCCUCUUAAAUGCCUGUUACACUUUUGAAAGAAAUGAAAACUAAGGCCAUUUUGUGACUAGUGUUUCAAUUUUAGAACACUCUCUGGGAAACUUGAGAUCAUCAUAAACCUGGGGUGGGUGAGGAAAUUACUAAAUGUAGGUGAAAAGGCAAAGAGGAGGUAGGUAACAACAGAAUUAUUAUUUACAAAAUACUGUCUGUGGCCCACGCUCUAAGAAAUUAUACCUUUGGAGCUCUAGCUAUUAUGGGUCCCACCCACUGAUUGUUAUCCACCUUUGGCAGUUUUGUAUCCAGGUCAAGAAAUAGGCCUAUUUUUAUGGAGCUUUGUUUAUGUAAUAUACAAAGUAAUUUAUGAGAUUAUAAAAACAGUUUUCUCCUUUAUUAUAAACAUGGUUAUAGGAGGAAUUUAGUGCUUAGACCUUAAGAUAAAUUAGGAAUUGCUCUAAAAAUUAUGCCAAAUGAAAGAUUAUUCUAUAACCAGUGCCCCUCUUCUGGUUUAAAGAUAUGCAUUUUAAGACUUUGUCUAGAAAGGAAAAUGUGAAGACACAAAAAUUAUGUUUAUAAUAUAUAAUUCAGAUUAUGUUGUUAUUCUUUUUAAAAUUCAUCAAUGGCCCCUCUUUUAUUUUUUUCCUCCUGGUACUGGGGAUUGAACCCCAGGGGCACACUGCCACUGACUACAUCCCCAAUACUUUUUUAAAUUUUUAUUUUGAGAUAUAGUCUCUCUAAAUUGCUCAGACUGGUCUGAAAUUUGUAAUCCUCCUGCCUCAGUCUCCCCAAUAGCUGGGAUUAUAGGCCUGUGCUAGCAUACCUGGAACACACUGACUGGCUAGCUGAGUAUUUUAUUUAUUUGUUUGUUUGUGUUUGUUUUGGUUACUGGGGAUUGAAACCAGGAGUACUUUACCACUGAGCUAGUCCCAAGUCCUUUUCACUUUUUAUUUUAAGACAGGGCUCAUUAAGUUGCUAAAACUGGCUGGGAUUACAGGGGAGCACCAUUAUGCCCAGUCACAAUGACUUUCUUACUCUAACACACCAGGAUAUUUCCUUUUUUAGGGCUGUUAUCUCUGCCUCUUGGCCUGGAAUAUUCUUCCUUUAAAUUUUGCAUUGCUGGCUCCUCAUGAGUCAUACAACAGUUCAAAUGUCAUUCUCAAGAAGUGUCUUCUAUUAUCCAAAAUAGUAUUCAUUAUUUGAAAUUAUAUUAUUUAUUUGUGUAUCGGCUUUUUGACUAUAUACUGUCUAUAUUAUCAGUCCAUGCAGAGUUGGUAUUUCAUUUGUCUUAUUUCCGACCAUAUGGCUAGAAUCAAAAAUCAUGCCUAGUAUAUAUUGAAUAUUCAAUAAACACUUGUUGAGUUAAUCAAUGAAUGAUACAGAAAGGGAGGACAAUUGAAGUUUCAAGACCAAUUGAGUGUGUAUAGCUUUAAAUUUGAGAUGAACACCUUUAUCAUUGGGCUAGGAAAGAAGAUAUAGGCAGAGAUAGGUACAGAUGUAGCAAAAAAAUUAACUAGUAUUAGGAAGAAGGAAGCAACUAGAAUUUAUUUAUUUACUUUGUUACUAGAGAUUGAACCCCAGGGCACUUUACCACUGAGCUACAUUCCCAGCCCUUUUUAUAUUUUAUUUUGAGACAAGGCCUCACUAAAUUGCUGAGGCUGGCUUUGAACUUGUGAUCUUACUGCCUGCCUCCCAAGCCACUGGGAUUAUAGGUAUGUGCCACCGCACCUAGCCCCCCAACCCCCAAGUAGUGGGGAUUGAACCCAGGGUACUCUAUCACCAAGCUCCACCCCUAGCCUUUUUAUUUGAUUUUAUGAUAGGAAUUUGCUAUGGUUCCCAGGUUGACCUCAAACUUGCCUCAGCUUCCCACAUUGCUGGGAUUACAAGCAUGUGCCACUGUGCUUAGGUUUUUAGACUCAGGGCCCCCUGAACAUGCUAGGUAAGUGCACUACCAUUGAGCUACACUCCCAGUGUAGCAGCAGGAAUUUAAAAGAGUUUUUGUCUGAUAGUCCUCAGCCUCUGUUCUCCUUUUGAAAUAUGAUACAAAGUCAGUGCUGUGACUGAGGGAUAGGUAGUGUGAGGGGUCUUGCUUUCUUGGAAAUAAGUAAAUAAGAUAUUUGCUUUUACUGUUUGUUUAAAUUUCACACAUCUUGAAACCAAGCCCAGGUGGUAGUUUCUGUUUCCUGAGUAACUAUCAUACUUUGUGCCAAGCAUUUUACUUUCAUUGACUCAUUUAAUCUUCACAAAAAUCUGAAUCUGACACUCACUAGUUGACAGAGAAGUUAAAUAUCUUGUACAAAAAAAAAAAAAAUGAAGCUACCAGAAUUGCAAACUAUAUGUUUCUGAGUCAAAGAUUAUAUUCUUUCAUCUCUUAUGUGUUGCCUAUCAGUAACCCAAUGUGGUUAAUUCCCAAUCUAAUCUUUAAUUGCAAAGUAACAAAUGUCAUAACUAAUAUAUCCCAAAAGGACAGUUCAUCACUAUGACUAAGAAAAUAUCUGGCUUAAAUCAUAUUGUUAUGUCCUGGGCAUGUACCAAUGUGUAGCAAUGAAUCCCACCAUUCUGUAUGAUUAUAAUGCAUCAAUAAAAAUACAGAAAAAAAGUAAGUAUCUAAUAUUCCAAUAAUCAUCCUUCCUUUCUGAAUUAUUAGGUCUAAAAGUCACUUACUGAGAUGGGGAUGUAGCUCAGUGGUAAAGCACUUGCCUAGCACAUAUAAGGCUCGGGUGCCAUCCCUAUAUAGCUAAUAAUAAUAAUAAUAAUAAUUAAUAAAUAAACAAAGUCACUUACUUAGGUGGACUAAGCAAGCCAGGACCUCUGGGUAGGAGCAACACAAUGAUAUGUGUCAGGACACGAACAAUGUAAGGAGGUGACCAUGAGGGCUAAUGGUGCAAGUGUCUGAGUCCAAAGAAAGGAGAGUGAGGGGUGAGGGCAGCAGUCCUAAUGGGAAAUUGGUUACAUACAGGGGUGUUUUGGCAUAUAAGUAAAUAUAUUGAAGAUAAUGAGAACCAGGUUUAUCACUGUGUGCUGGGUUUCUGUUCUCGCAACUAAAAGGCUCAGGGGUCACUCCAGUUGAACUGGGCUAACUGGUCUGCACAAAAUAACCCCACAGGAGACACAAAUACCUUUUUCUUUGGGGUCGCUAUGACAGCUUCUCUGACCUUAAGGGUUCGCAGGAAGAGAGAGAGAGAGCAGGAGCUGACCCCUUUUAUUGAGGAGAAGCUAUUCAAAUGAGGCAAGGGGUCAGGUUUCAGGGAGCUGAGUCUAUCUUCAUGAUGUCCACUGUCAGCAGGUUGACUGACACCUGGGUAGGCCACACCCAAGGGCACAGUAAGAGAAGGGGACACACACAAGGCACUUCCAUGGAAGAUUCUAUCCUAAACAGGGCAAGGGAUUAUAUUACAAAGGAACAGGUAAGCAUAGCUUCACCCAUGGGGCUGUAGCAAGACACAUCCAUGCAGGAGACACCGACCCUGGAACCCAAGAAGGGUAGGGAAAGCUCUGCCACAUUUCUGUGACUAAGUGCCUCAGCACCCAGCUAGGGAGUGUGACUCAGUCACGUGUAAGGUUGGUCUCCCACAACUAGGGGAGGCAGAAGUUAAAAGAUGGAAAAGCAGAAAAUUGGAAUGAACUCUGCGAUGUUAAAUUAUGUUGUACAUAAUUUGAGACUAUGUAAGCUUGGUCAAGUGCAUGCCUAACCUGUCCCUAGGUUUAACAUCACAAAGUUCAUAAUUUAAAGUAUCAAAGUUAAAUUAUUAAGUAUCAAAGUGAACUCAUGAUUUUCAAUAGUGUUUUAGUUAGGGUUUUCAUCACUCUGACCAAAAUACCUGACAAGAACAAUUAUAGAGGAAAAGUUUAUUUGGGGCUCACAGUUUCAGAGGUUUAGUUGGUGGUUGGCUGAUUCCAUAGAUCCGGGCUAGAGAUGAAGCAGAACAUCAAGGCAGAAGGGUAAGGAAAGAAUGGAGGAAAGCAGCUCAGGACAUGGCAAUCAGAAAAAGAAAGACAGUUUAGCUCACCAGAACAAAAUGUAUACCCCAAAAGCACACCCCCAAAGGCACCUCCUUCAGCCAUACCCUACCUUACCAACAGUUACCACCCAGUUAAUCCAUUUGAAAUUAGGUUAAAAUUCUCAUAACUGAAUCAUUUCACCUCUAAACUUUCUUGUGUUGUCUCACACAUGAGCUUUUGGAGGACACCUCAUCUCUAAACCAUAAUAAAUGUAUAGAGAGAAAUAAAUAUAUGUGUCCAUGUAUAUGAAUAUGUAUAUACAUGCAUAUAUUUUCUAGGAGCAGUGACUCCCCAAUAGCAGUGAGCAUACCUAAACCCCCAUCUUGAUUAUAAUUAUCAUUCUCCACUAAAAUGCCAUUUUCCACUAAUAGCAACCAGGGUUUCUGUGAGAAAUAGCUGAUUCCAAGGCUAGGGCAGAGAAAAUUCAAGAUGAGCCUGGAACAUCUUGUUAAACCAGAAAGUAAGGAAAUGUUCAAAGAAUGAUGAAGACAUGUCAAAAAGACAUAAAGCCCAGAUGUGGUAGCAUAUACCUUGUAAUCCCAGUUAUUCAGGAAGCAGAGGCAGGAGGAUUGCAAGCCUGAGCAAUUUGGCAAUACUUGUUUCAAAAUAAAAAUAGUGUUGGUGAUAUAACUUAGUGGUAAAGCACCCCUGGGUUCAAUUUUCAGUACACACACACAAAUAAAUAAAUAAUAAAAAAUAACAGGACAGCUUAAAUAGAUUCUCACUCCUAUGGCCAGAAUGGGAACAACUGAACAUCAAAACAAAUAAUGAUAAAAUAGAUAACUCAUUUUAUAAAAUAGAAAUCCACGCAUCUAAACUGAUGAGUAGAAUGAAUGAAUGAAUGAGAGGAAAAAGGUUUUUGUUACAAUACCAACAAUGAAUAUGGACUGGAUGAUGAAAUUAGAAAAUCACCAUUUGGCAACUAUACUAGCAAUUAAUUCAACCAAGAAAUAUUUAAGUACUACUUUUAAAUUUGAUAAAGGAUAGGAUAUCUACAUAGUCUCAAAGUAUCUCACCACAAAAUAAUUAUUAAGAAGAAACAAAGGGGAUCCGUUUGUGACUCAGCAGUAGAGCACUCGCCUAGCAUGCGCAAGGUGCUGGAGUCAAUCCUCAGCAUCACAUAAAAAUAAAUAAAUAAAAUAAAGGUAUUGUGUCCAACUACAAAAAAGAAUUUUAAAAAAGAAGACACGACACAAAGGAUGUGACUCUACUUUGUGUGUGACCAGAGAUGUAAAAAAUUGUGCUCUCUAUGUGUAAUAUGAAUUGUAAUGCAUUCUGUUGUCAUAAAUAACAAAUCAAAAUUUUUUUUAAAAAAAGAAACAAAGAAAAUUUUUAUAAUGGGAAAACCUGACAAACACCAUUUCUGAGCACAGUAACAUUAUUACUAAGGAACAAAUUGCAAUUGUUAUCAGUUAACAGUAUACAAUGAAGAAAAAUCCAGCAUCAGUUCUGUGCUAUUCCUACCCAAAAUGUACAACUUGAAUCUAGUCAAGAGGAAACAGACUAACCCAAAAUGAGGGACAUUAUAUAAAAUAGCCCACCAAUAAUCUUUAAAAAGUAGCAAAGUGAUGAAAGUCAAAGAAAGACUAAGAAACUGUUCUGAAUAAGGACUAAUGAGACCUGAUAACUAAAUGCAUAAUUAUAAAUGGCAUUAUCAGGACAAUUAACUAAAGAGUUCUGUGGAUUACGUGAUAGUAAUGAAUCAAUGUUAGUUUCCUGAUUUGGGGCUGGGAAUGUAGCUCAGUGGUCAAGUGCAUACCUAACCUGUCCUAGAUCCUGGGUUUGAUCCCCAGCAUGUGCGCACACACAAAGAAAAAAAAGUCCUGAUUUUUGAGGAUUUUAGGGUAACCAGACAUCAUAUUGGCAAUAUAUUCUCAAGUUGUUCAGGAAGGAAGGCAGCCUCUCUGUACUGUUGUUAUAACUUUCCUGCACAUUUGAAAUUAUUUUUUUAAAAGGAAAAAUAUCACUGAGGGGAACAAAAUGAGCACAAUUUGAAACAUUGAAACUGCCUGCCAGUGUCUUAAAUGUAAAAUGUGAGUCCUGGAAUUUGUGGAGAAAAACAAUGUUUGUGGGGGUAAUGGUAGUAAUUAUUCUCUGUCUAUCCACACCCUCCAAAAUCAUGCUGAAGAUUUUCCUUUUAGAAGCCUUCUUUGACUAUUCUAGUCCAUACUUAUCACCCAUUCCAUACCUAAACUCAGAAUGUACAUUGUUUAUUUCACUUCUUUAGUACUUUUUUUUUUGAUACUUGGACACAAUACCUUUAUUUCACUUAUUUAUUUUUAUAUGGUGCUGAGGAUCGAACCCUAGGUCUCACACAUGCAAGGCAAGUGCUCUACUGCUGAGCCACAACCCCAGCCCCUCUUAGUACUUAGUCAUAUAUAACCUUGUGACUUCUCUUGUAUUAUUAUUGUCUUGUAUAAAUUUUAAGUUCUUGUUUAAAUCUUGUGAAUGUUAUUUUCUUAAACAUAAUAAGUUUAGAAACAGAUAUCACAUAUGGUUUCUUUCUCUCCUCAACAUUACCUAAUACAUGUUUUACAAUCACAUUUUCAUAUCCUAAGGACUGUCAAAAAUAAUUGAUUUUGCCAAGCAAAAAUUUCAUACAUACCAACUAUAUAUUAGGCACUGUAAAUAAUAAUUACUUACAUGUAUAGGAUGCAUUGUAGUUAAUAAAACAUCUACACACCCAUUAUCUCAUUUGUUAUUUCUAACAACUCUGUGAAAUAGGUGCUGCCAUAUGAUAAACAAACACAGAGAGGAAUUGUGAAUUAUUUAAAGCCAUAUAGCUUUUAAAGAGCAGAAUUGGAAUGCCACCUUCAUUCUUCAGAUUACAAGUUCAGUUUCCUUUUUUUUUUUUUGCUUCACAUAGAAAGCAAAUAACAAGUCUGGACACUCUGAUGUUCAUAAAUAUUGUAUUAGUUUUCUACUGCUGCUGUAACAAAUUACCACAAACUCAGCGCCUUAGGUGAUACAAAUGUAUUAUAGUUCUGUAAGGAUAAAAGCCUGAUACAGGUCACCCUGAGCUAAAAUCAUGAGGUUAGCAGAGUUGCAUUUCUUCCUAAAGUCUAGAAGAGACUCUGUUUCCUUGUUGUUUCCAGCUUCUAGAUGCUACUCAUAUUUUUUGACUUGGAUUCCCUUCCUCCAUCUUCAAAGAAAAAAAACAUUGCAUCUCUAGAUACAUCCUCCUCUGACCCCCUAUUCCACUUUGAGGGAUCCUCACAAUCAUGUUUGAUCUACCCAGAUAAUCCAAAAUAGUAUCUCUAUUUUAGAAUUAGCUGAUUAGCAACCUAAUUACUUCAGAAAACUUAACUGUCCUUUGCCAUAUAUCCUAACAUAUUCACAGAUUCCAGGGAUUAGGACAUGAAUAUCUUUGAGAGUCCUAUCGUGUGGAUGUUCUUCAAAUAUGCACUUUCCAAAGAUCCACUGAGCAUUUUCAUAUCUUAACUCAUGGUAUGAAUAGUUCUUCCAUCUACUGAAAAAUCAACCAUUAGAUUCCAACAGGACAAUUUGUUUACUGGAAUAUUGACUUUUAGCAAUUAGUUUACCAAAAACAUAAGCCACAGUUGAUUUACAAAAUUUAGCAUCUUCUAAGUCCACUGUUCCCAUUCAACAAACAAGGAGGUCAAUGACAUUAAGUAACUUGCCUAAGGACAUACAGCUAGUAAGCAAUAGAGCAGUAAUCCAAACUUGGACCCUAUUUACAAAGCUCAAAAGCUAGAAGCUUUUAUCACACCAUUUUCUCACCAAUAAUAGAAACUCCUAGGGCCUACAUUUUUUAAAAAAUCCAAAUAAAAUUUACUGCAACUUUUUGUAGAGUUUAAUUUGUGCUACAAGAUGGGCCUCAUAGAAAAUUAUUUAAAGCCCCUCAGGAAAAAUAUCCAUGGCUUAAGGUAUAACCACUUUUGUUUCUUCUUUGGGGAAAAAGAUGAGAGAUGAUCUCUGGGUCAAAUGAAGGUGAGGAGUAGAGAAGCAGAACUUAAGGUUAUUUUGUGUGAUGAUGAAAGAAUUGUGCUAAUUGAUUCUUGUAGCAUAAAAUGAGAAGUGUCUUUUUUUUUGUCAGUUGGUCUUCAGUGGCUUCAGUAGAUAUAAAACAAUAUCUCAUCCCAACAAAAGGAUUACACAUUGAUUAAACUAACUUGUUUCAACUGGGGCCUACAUUUAAUGCCUGUGAUUUAAACAUUAAUUUGUUCCUUUGAAUCAUCCACUUUUUUUCUGUUUUUUUCUUUUCUUGGAACCCAGGAAUAUACAGCCACUAGCUACACCCCCAGUUCCUUUUUUAUUUUGAUACAGUGUCUCCAUAUAUUUCCCAGGAUAGCCUUGAACCUGUGAUCCUCCAGCCUCAGCCUCCUGAGUUUUCUGGGAUUACAGGUGUGUGCCUGAUUGGAUUAUCUAUUUUGGGGAGUGGAACCCAGGAGUGCUUAACCACUGAGCAACCCCCCCAAUCCCCCUUUUUUUGCUUUAAUCUUUUUACUUAUAUAUGACAGUGGAAUGCAUUACAUUUGGAUUACUGCUCUAUUGCUUACUAGCUGUUACGUGUUAAAAAGUUAUCUCUGGUUAUAUACAAAGUAUAUUCACAUGAAUUCAUACAUGUACUUUAGAUAAUAAUGACCAUCACAUUCCACCAUCAUUUCUAACCCCAUGUCCCCUCCCUUCCCCUACAACCCCUCUGCCCUAUCUAGAGUUCAUAUAUUCCUCCCAUGCUCGCUCUCCCUACCCCACUAUGAAUCAGCCUCCUUAUAUCAGAGAAACAUUCAGCAUUUGUUUCUUGGGGGAUUGGCUAACUUAACUUAGCAUUAUCUUCUCUAACUCCAUCCAUUUAUCUGAAAGUGCCUUUUUUAUAUUUUAUCUAGAAACAGGGUCUCGCUGAGUUACUUAGGGCCUUGCUAAAUUUCUGAAGCUGACUUUGAAUUCAUAAUCCUCCUGCCUCAGCCUCCUGAGCUACUAGGAUUACAGGUGUGUGCCACUGAGCCCAUCUUGGAUCAUCUACUUCUUACAGACUGCCUUGAAAAUGCAAAUCACUGCAGUAGAGGCAAUAAUAUUACAGAAAAUGUUUGGCAUUUAAUGAAUUUAAUAUUUGUAGUUUCCACUAAUCAAAAGUGAACCAAGGGCUGGGGAUGUGGCUCAAGCGGUAGCGUGCUUGCCCGGUAUGCGUGCGGCCCGGGUUCGAUCCUCAGCACCACAUACAAACAAAGAUGUUGUGUCCGCCGAAUAUUUAAAAUAAAUAAAUAAAUAUUUAAAAAAAAAAAAAAAGUGAACCAACCCCAGGGCUGGGGUUGUAGCUCAGUGGUUGAGCGCUUGCCUCGCAUGCAUGAGGCACUGGGUUCAAUCCUCAGUACCUUAUAAAACAAUAAAUAAAUAAAACAAAGAUAUUUUGUCCAUCUACAGCUAAAAAUAAAAUAAAAUAAAAACUUUAAAAAGUGAAUCCCAGUGAUCCCUGACCUGGAAUAAUGUUAACAUUACUAAAGUUUGGUUUAAAUCACUCACUAGAAUUCUGGUGUUAUGGUUUGGGUACGAGGUGUUGUGCAAAAGCUCCUGUGUUAAUUUAUAGGAAUGUUUAGAGGUGAAAUUAUUGGGUUGUGAGAAGCCAUAACCCAAUCAUCCUAAUUUGAAUGGACUAACUGGGUGGUAACUAUACAUAGGUGGGACUUGAUUGGAGGAGGCAGAUACUGGGGACAUGCCCUGGAAGGGUUCAUCUUCCCUGUGGUUCCUUCCCCUUUCUGUCUGCUUGCCAGCACCAAGAAGUAACCAGUGCUCCUCCACUAUGCUCUUCACCAUGGUGUUCUGCUUCACCUCAAGCCCAGAGCAAUGGGGACUAAAACCAUGAAUUAAAUUGAAGUUUUCCUCUUCUAAGUUGUUUUUGUCAGGUAUUUUGGAUACCUGACAAAGCAAAGCUGUGGGGAAAUGUCCCUUAGUAAUUCAGUCUAGUCAAUCUCCUAGAAUCCAAGUUUUAAAUUUGCUUUACUAUAUGAUUUUCAUCAUAUGUGUCUUAUUUGGAAAUUAUACUCUAUAAUGUCAUUCCUAAGAGAGGAUAUUUUUCAAGAGUCUUAAUUAAGAUGAAUUCUUUGGUAAUAUCAAGAAUCUAUAUCAUAGUGACAAGAAGCUGUCAAGGGUGAUCCCAUAUCAGCUUGAGAAGUUGCAUAUUAUAAUAGUAUCAGGAGACAUGGGUUAACCUCACUACUUGUGAGUCAUAUGAUCUAGGGGAAAUUAUGUAAUUUCUUUAAGCCUCAGCUGCUUCUAAAAAUGGAUAUAGAUUCUUGCUUAAUAAAGUUGUAAGGCUUAAAUAAAAUGAUGGAUGUACAAGUGUGUGGCAAAGGAAGACAAAAUCCUGAUAGGAGUGUGCAUGAGUAUGUAAGCAGACAGCUGUAAAAAACAAUUAAAAAGGCAUAGUAGGGGUUGGGUUCAAAUCUUUACUGUUGCUUGUGUGAUCUUGGACAAGUUCUAAGUCCUUAGAAACUCUUAAUCUUGAUUUUCUCAUUUAUAAAACACAUCCUUCAUAGAGUUGUUGUGAGCAUUAAAUGCCAUUAUACUCUAAGAGCAAUUAUUCUAGAGUCUGACCCCAAGUAUACGUUCAAGAACUGUGCACUCUUUUAGAGUGCAAGUACAAAGGUUCCAGAUGGUUGUCUUUAAUUGACCUGAUGAUGACAGACGUGAUUUCUUGUUAAACCACAAGGCGGAGCUAGAGACAUAGGAGUGGAUGUCUUAUUUAACAGGAAUCUUCAGAUUUCAGGGAGAAAAAGAAGUAGUUUUUCAUAUGGAAUCUUCAGAUUUCAGGGAGCAAAGAAGUAGUCUCUCAGAGUCCAUGGGUUUUGCCAAAACAAAACCUAUUUCCCUUUAAGCCACCACUCAUGUUCCUCUGAGUCAUUUCUUGUUGUUUGCUUUUUUGUUUUCAAAAAGAGAAUAGUAGGACUGGGGUUGUGGCUCAAGUGGUGCGUUCCCCCAGCACGUGUGAGGCACUGGGUUUGAUCUUCAGCACUACAUAAAAGUAAAAUAAAGAUAUUGUGUCCACCUAAAACUAAAAAAUGAUUUUAAAAAAGAGAGAUAACAGCCCAAAGAACACUCAAUAGACAUCAAUAAUGUGAAUUUCACUUCCCCCUUGGAAAAAAAUUUGGAUUUAGCACAUAGAAGAUGACUAUAUAGUUAUAAAAGAAAUCCUUUAAUAUAUUUAGCUUUCUUCUCAUUCUUCAUCCCAGAGAACAAAGGCAGCUUUUGUCUACACUCUGCUUAUGUGACUGAUUUCCUGUCUCUCAGAGCCCAAUUCUCUUUCCCAAAGGCAUACUAAGAAUUUCUCCCAAGAAGCCCAUGAGGUCCCCAUACAAAUAUCACUCCUGGAAGUCUGUCUUAGCAUCCCAGGAUGUUAAGUAUAUAGAUUAAGUUUCAGUUGUUCUCAAAGGAUCACUUUGAAGGUAUAUUUUGUAAGCUCAUUAAAAACUCAACUCUCAUUACUUUCAGGCAUGCUCCUGUAUGCUAUGUACUAUUAUAAUUAGAACCUCGUGAAAAUCACAAAAAUCUACUUAAAAGAUGAUGGCAGUACCAAAUACCAGCUUCAAAAUGCCACUACUUUCAGGGCCCCUGAAAGCAUUGCUACAGAAAUGAGCUUAGAUCAUUCCCAAAUCUAAGUGCAUAAGACAAAUUCCUUCAUUUCUACACAUAAAUACACUUCAUGCUCAAGUGAGGGAGAAUGGAAAGAUCAUUCUAGGCAGAGUUCCAGGACAUGAAGAAGGUCAAACACAAAACAAUGUUCUCACAGGUUUGAAAGUAAUUAUAUAUGGCUUGACUAGAAAGGUUGAGAGGGUGAAUGGCAAGAAUUAAAGCUGGAGGGCUUGGGCUGUAGCACAAUGGUAAAGUGCUUGCCUCUAUUGUGUGAGGCAAUGGGUUCGAUCCUCAGCGCCACAUAAAAAUAAAUAAAGAUAUUGUAUGUCCAUUUACAGCUAAAAAAAUUAAAUCUGGAGAAAAAUCAUUAAGCCAUGUAUUUUAUAAUAAGGAGUAUAUAUUUUAUUCUGAGAGCAAUGGAGACCCACCAAAAGGCAACAAGGUAUGGCAAGAAAAAAAAAAUUGUUUCGUGCUUUAGAAAAAUCAUUAUAGCUGCAAGAUAGAGAAGGGAGGAAGGCAAGUCUGGGUAGAAGGUAUGCAGGAUAUUUUCUGUUCACCUCUCCAGAUGCUUUCUCCAUCAUCUAUCUGAUUGUGUCCCAGAAGUUUGAAAUGUGUGCAUUCCCUACAGGUUUCCUUGCCCCUCUAACUGUUGGUUGGAUCCAGUAUUAGGACAGAGCAGCAGAUCAGAGAUUAGGGGGAAGGAGAGGUCCAAACAUUUAUUCCCCAUCUACCUCUCUGUUGAGUCAUUGUGUGAGGAUACCUGCCACCACCAAAGGUCACAGCUAUUAGCAGUCAGCACCUUCCAUACAACUGCCAUCUUCCAAUCCUUAUAAUCAUUCCCUCCCCUGCCCUUCAACUGUAUGGGUAGUAAUGAGUCCAGCUUUGCUAGGACUGUUAAAACUUUGCCUCCCUUGUUGGUCUCCCUAAACUGUGCAUAUGCCUUGUGAAUGGUUCCUUUAUUGAACACUCCUCAAAUUAUCUAGUUUGUGUGUGCCAUCUAUUUCUUACCAAGACUCCAAUGGAUGCAGAAAGAAACCAGUAAUACUGUGAUGGUUAGCAUUUAUUAUGUUCUAGGCACUCUCCUAUGUCGGGUUUCUGAUCUCACGACUAAAAGGCUCAGGGGUCACUCCAGGUAAACUGGGAUAACUGGGCUGCACAAAAUAACCACACAAGAGACACAAAUACCUUUUUAUUUGGGGUCGCUGUGACAGCUUCUCUGACCUUAAGGGUCCGCAGGAAGAGAGAGAGAGAGCAGGAGCUGACCCCUUUUAUUGAGGAGAAGCUAUUCAAAUGAGGCAAGGGGUCAGGUUUCAGGGGGUUGAGUCUGUCUUCACAUGUCUACUCUCAGCAGGUUGACUGAUAUCUGGGUAGGCCACACACAAGGGCACAGUAAGGGAAGGGAACACACACAAGGCACUUCCAUGGAAGAUUCUAUCCUAAACAGGGCAAGGGGUUAUAUUAAAAAGGAACAGGUAAGCGUAGUUCCACACCCAUGCACGAGACACCUUCCCUCAAACCCAAGAAAGGUGGGGAAAGCUCUGCCACAUUUCUGUGACGGAGUGCCUCAGCACCCAGCUGGGGAGUAUGACUCAGUCACAUGCAAGGUUGGUCUCCCACACUCCUACACAGUUUAUAUAUAUUUAAUGCUCACAGAAGCCCUAUGAAGUAUCCUUCCUUUACAGAUGAGGAAUCUGUGAUACAGAGAGAUUGGAUAAUUUUCCUAAAGUCACACAGUUUGUGAAAAACUGAGCCAGAACAGACAUAGUCUGUUUCUAGAGUGUAUUUUCUUGACCACCAUGCCCUCUGGUGAGGUAAGAGUUGAUGUUGUAAGUUGCAGCAAUAACAAUGGAAUAGAGAAAAAUGAAGGAAUUUAAGACCAGUUGUUGCUAAACCCAGUGUAAUUUAAAGUAUCAAUUGGGAUCAAGAGGCAAUGAGGACUGGGGUGGUGGCUCAGUGGUAGAGUGCUUGCCUAGCACAUUCUAGGCCCUGGGUUCGAUCCUUAGCACCACAUAAAAAUAAAUAAAUAAAAUAAAGGUAUUGUGUCCAACUAUAAAUAAAAAAAUUUUAAAAAGAGGCAUUGAAAUUCACUGGUUAUAAACAUAGAUUUGGGAAUUAGAUGGACCAGGCUCAUAUUAUGUUAGCUGAGUGAUUUUUUUUUUUUUUUUUUUUGUAACAGGGAUUGAGUGCUGAGCCACAUCCCCAGCCCUACUUUGUAUUUUUUAUUUAAAGACAGGAUCUCACUGAGUUUCUUAGCACCUAGCCAUUGCUGAGGCUGGCUUUGAACUUGGGAUCCUGCUGUCUCAGCCUCUGGAGCCACUGGGAUUAUAGGCCUGUGCCAUUCAUUAUACCUGGCUAGCUGAGUAAUCUUAAAUAAGUCAUUUUCUCUUUCUGGAUUUCAGUUCCUGCAUCUGUAAAAUAGGAUUAAUAAUGUCUACUCCACUGAGUUUCUUUAAGAAUUAAACAAGAUCCUUUCACAUAUUACUUAAUCUGGCAUGUAGUAGAUCUUAAUAAAUAAGAUUUUUAAUAAAGGUGCUUAAUGAAUAUUUAUAAAUAAAUAAACCCAGAGAGACAUGGGAGCACCUGUUGGAAUUUAGGUAUGUUAGCUCCAAAAUGCUAUCAUCAGUGACUAAGAACUUGCCCUGAGAACAAACCAGCCCUUCCCCUCCUUUCUGUGCCUGUGUUACUUGGCUAUUUUUGUGGUAUAUUUUUUUGAUGAGGUACCAGGGAUUGAACCCAGGGGCACUUAACCACUGAACUACAUUCCCAACCUUUUUAAUAUUUUAUUUUGAGAUAGGGUCUUGCUUGCUAAAUUGUUUAGGGCCUCGUUAAGUUGCUGAGGCUGGCUUUGAACUCGAGAUCCUACUGCCUCAGCCUCCCAAGCUACUGAGAUUAUAGGCAUGUGCCACUACUCCUUGCUAUGGUAUUUUUUUUUAAUAUUUAUUUAUUUAUUAUUUUUAUGUGGUGCUGAGGAUCGAACCCAGUGCCUCAUUCUUGCUAGGCAAGUGCUCUACCACUGAGCUACAACUCCAGCCCCUGUGAUGUGUUUUUAACUAUGAUGUUUGAGUUAUUGGUUAUUUGUUUUUUCUCUCCUGCUAAGCUCCACUAGUCCAAAUUCAUAUCCUUAUCCUCAGUUACUAUCAUUAUAUGUAGCACACACUAAGAACUCAGUAAUAUUUGUUGAAUGAAUGACUCAGUACUUCUAGGAAACGAUUCCCUGAGUUUCAUCUCAAUUAUCUUUCUUGCUGUCAUGUAGAUUAGAAAAUUACUCUACUUUUUUAUUAAUUACUUUUUCAUUUAUUCAUAAAUCCUAGUGCACACUAGGUGCUUGGCAAAUAUUUUUAAAUGAAUGAACUAACAUUAAGCAAUUGCAGUAAAUUGGAAGCUAUACUCAGAAUAGCUAGAUUCAAAUAUUGGCUUUAAUGCUGUGAGACAUAGUUAGAUAUUAUCAAUGUGCCUCAAUUUCCUCAUGUAUAAAAUGAGGAUAAUUGAAUUUAUUUCAUAGACAUAUAAAUAUUUUGAGAAUUAAAUGAUAAAACUGGCUGGCCCAUGGCAAGGCUUAACAAAUGUUAUCUAGGUAAUGUUGAAAAUGAGGGAGUCACUCUGGAGCCACCAUGCAUUGUUUUUUGUUGUUGUUGUUGUUUUCCUAUUAACAAAGUGUGUAACACCUAGUGCUCAAAGCAUUACUCUGAGCCUGCCUCCCACCACAUCACUGGUCAAGGAAUAGGUCUCAAACUUCAGAGGUCUUAACAAACAUCAAGGAAGAUAGUUUGCAAUAAAAACAAAACAAAACCAGAUUCAUAGGCCCACAUUUUGAGGAAUGCUGAACUAGGUUCUUAACAAAUCAACUUUUUAAUUGAAAUUGGUUUUACACUGCAACCCUGUCCUUGAAUUUGUGUCUGAACCUUUUGUACUUCCCAAGAAUUAACCCCAGUUAGUGUGAAGUUUCAGUCUCUCAUGAUCUACUGCAGGACCAAUGUGCAAAGUGGUCCGUACUUAUUGGAUGUUUUUUCACUGCUCAUAUGCCAGACAGCCUGCUAAUUUCCACUUCCUCAACUUGGCUAGUUUCUCAGAGUGAACCUCUUUCUUUUUAGGUUCAAAUACUCCCCAUCAAUGGCUGGCUUUGAACUUGGGAUCCUCCUGUCUCAGCCUCCUGAGCCACUGGGAUUAUAGGCCUGUGCCAGUGUACCUGGCUAGCUGAGUGAUCUUAAAUCAGUCAUUUUCUCUUUCUGGAUUUCAGUUUCUGCAUCUGUAAAAUAGUACCCAUUCAUCAAAAUUAGCUCAAGCUUAAUCCCCCUUGCCCCAUCACAUGCAUGUCCUUAGAAACCAUUCUUGGCUUUCUCAGUUGUACCUUUCUUUCCUCCUCAUUGUGGGUUGUACAUCUGUGCUUUCUUAAAGGGCCACUUUAAGAUUAAAUGGAGGGCUGGGGCUGUAGCUUAGUGGUAGAGCGCUUGCCUAGCAUGUGUGAGGUCCUGGGUUUGAUCCUCAGCACCACAUAAAAAAUAAAUAAAUAAAACAAAGGUCCAACAACAACUAAAAAAAAUUUUUAAAAAGAUUAAAUUGAAUGAUGGUCAUGAAAAAUAGUGUCUGUCGGGCUGGGGUUGUGGCUCAGUGGUAGAGUGCUUGCCUAGCAUGGGUGAGGCACUGGGUUCAAUUCUCAGCACCACAUAUAAAUAAAUAAAAUAAAGGUCCACUGACAAUUAAAAAGAUAAAAAGGUCUUUCCAUAUUGAUUUUUCCAGAUUAUAUCAUCAUAUGUUAGUAACCAAGGGGGUCAAAAUCAAAAAAUUUAUAAUUCUGAUUCUAAAGACUCAUAUUAUGAGUCUCUAUUGACCAUAAAACUAAGGAGCCAGAUUGGGGUUGUGGCACAGUGGUAGAGCACUUGCCCAGCACAUGUGAGGUACUGGGUUUGAUCCUCAGCAUCACAUGAAAAUAAAUAAAUAAAAUAAAAUAAAUGUGUCUACCUACCAUUAAAAAAUUUUUUUAAAAAAAUCACUAAGGAUUCCAUGUGAUUUUGGGACUAAAAACUAAUAAUAGUCUGAAGGUUUUGACCCAAAAUUUUUGUUAAAGAAUGGGGGAAAGUAUGAAGGUAGAGAAAACAGGUUUUACUGAUAGUCCUGGGUAAGCUCCUAACUUUCUGAAAGCUGGACCUAGUGUUUGUCCCAACACCUUUGUAACCUCUAGAAUUGCUUAGCAAAAUGAUUUCUACUGAGUAAGUACUCCAUUCAUGUAUAAUUGAAUCAUGGGAAGCUGCACCAUAUUCUUGAUUUUCGUGCCCCACAUAAGAAACACUAAGAUCUGGUGAAUAUGUUUCCCCUACCUUAUUGUGAUGAAUUGUGUAAGUAUGAAGCAAAAGGGAAAGAAUAAAGGUAUGUGUGACCCUAUAAUGGACAGAAUUGUGCCUCCCUCUUCAUAUGUUAACGUACUAACCCUCAAAGUAACUAUAUCUGAAGAUAUAUAAGACUAUAAUUAAGGUAAAGGAGGUCAUAAAAAUGAAGCCCUAAUUCAAUAUAACUGGUGUCCCUAUAAGAGACAGAAACACCAAGAAGGCAAGUGUCAGAGAAAAGACCAUGUGAGGACUCAGCAAGAAGGUAGCCAUCUGCAGCUUAGGAAAACCAAACCUGCUGACACCUCGAUCUUUGACUUCCAGCUUCCAGAACUGUGAUAAAAUAAAUUCUGUCGCUUAACACACAAAGUCUGUGAUAUUUUGUGGUGGUGGACCUAGCAGAUUAAUACAGACUUUAUUCUACUUUCUAUGUAUUUAUUUACUUAUUAUUUAAUUUUUGGUGCCAGGGACCAAACCUACAUCUUUGCAGAUGCUGAGUACACUCUCUACUGUGAAAUAUAUCCCUGGUUACCUAUUCUACUUUUCUAAUACAAGUUAAAUUUCCUCAAAGUGUGUUCAGUGCAACUUUAGCAAAGUUUUAAUAGAUAUACAGAAAAGAGGUUUAAUGGUCAAAUAAACUUGAGAAACAUAGGGUUAAAACAAAAUAAAUCUGAUUCUCAGGGUUUUAAAUUUGCUAACAGGGGCUGGGGUUGUGGCUCAGCGGUAGAGUGCUCACCUCGCAUGUACGAGGCCCUGGGUUUGAUCCUCAGCACCACAUAAAAAUAAAUGAAUAAAUAAAAUAAGUGUAUUGUGUCCAACUACAACUAAAAAUAUAAAUAUUUAAAAAAAUAAAUUUGUUAACAUACAUUUUGAUUCUCCAAUAUAAUGCAGUAUACAACAUUUCCCAAAGUUGUUUGGAUAUAAAACUUCCUACCCUUUUUUGGAGCAGUGCAUAUUCCAUAGGACUAGUAUUCUGUGGUAAACAAUUUAGAAGUAUAGUUUUAUUUUUCUUAUGCUGAUCUGCCUGCGUUUAAAACUAUCCCAUUAUACACUGUCAGAUGUUGAAGAAAAAACCCUGGGAAAGAGAGUCUGAGUCAAGUAGUAUAAAGCUCCAAAUGAAUCCUUCCUGGAAUGAGAAACAACCCUUUCUGGAGGUCCUCAGAGAAACAAUUAUUUACUGUUAUUCCACCAACAUCCUUCUUCAAGGACCAACCCAGAUUUAGAAGUUUCAAUGGCCAAACCCAAAAUUGAAACUUACUACCUACAAGGAAGUCAAACUACAGUCUGGGAAUCAAGACAUUUGUAACUAUUUCUAUUUUUUUUAUUCUUUUUUGUUUCUCCAAAAACAUAGGCAAUAAAAAUAUUUUAAACAAAAGGACCCUUUGAGCUUGCUGUCUAAGCAAGAAGAAGAUGAAGAGAGAGUGUACCCAAUACCAUAGUCAGAUUGGGAUGUGCAUGGAGAGGAGGGGUGGCAGAGUAACCCAAAAGUAGUGUACAGUAACAGACACCAAAAAGAGAGGGAAAUAGGCAGAGUCUGUGGAGCUUCUAACAAGGAAGAAAGAAUAAAGGAAGCUCUUUUUGGCUUGUGCGGCAGGAUUUAGUCUUUAAAAGAAAGGGGAAAAAAAGAUAUAAAUGAAGCCUCCUCAACUCUAUAUAGAGAUUUGGAGGUCCUAGGCCAAAGUCAGAUGUUGUUUCAGUGAAGGUUCAUCACAUACUUAUUGAGUACUUAUUAUGUGUCAGCAUUGUUCUAGCAAAGAAAUAACAAAAAUCUCUGCUUUCACAACUUUACCUUCUGGUGGGAGUUUUUUUGUUUUUAGUUUUCUGCUUUUUGUUUGUUUGGUUUGCUGUGCUGGUGAUGGAAUCUGGGACCUCAUACAUGGUAGACAAGUGCUGUACCACUGAGCUACAUUCCCAGUCCUCUAGUCAUUGUUUAUCAUAUUUAUGCUAAUUUUUAUUGUAAAAAUAUCAUAGAGAAGAUUGUGUACAACAUAUGGGGCCAUACUAAAAAUAAUCACAAAGAAUAAUCAUAAAGCAAACAUAAAUCUACAAACAGCCUUGCUUAUGAAAUAGAAUAUUACCAGAACAUAAUGAGUUCCCAUGUAAUUUUUAUAUCAUGUUUUCCUCUCCCACAGAGAUAACACCUAUUCUGAAUUUUGUAUUAAUAAUUUCCUUGCAUUUUUAAUUAAUUUAUUUAUUUUAAUAAGGUAUAUAUGACAGCAGAAUGCAUUUUGAUUCAUUGUACACAACUGUGGCACAACUUUUCAUUUCAAUGAUUCCCUUGCAUUUCUUUAUAAGUUUUACCACAGUUUCUGUGAAAUACUAAGCAAUUUUUUAUCAGUCAGGGUCCUGGCAGGAAACAGAUGGUACAGUCAAAUUAGGAUAAUUUGAGGAGAGUUUAUUAAAAAAACUGUUUACAAGGGUGCCAGCAGGGUAUGGUAAGAACACCGAAUAAGAUAUUAGCCUGAGGCUGAUAAGAGGUCUUAUUACUCUAGGCUUGAAAGGGAGGGGAGAGAGUUAUAACAGGAAAUCAGAGACAGUUGGGAGGAGUACUUGAUAGGGGCUGAUACCUACAGAAGAGGGAACCCAGCCAGUGUACAUCAACCCCCACUGAGAAUAACAGAGAAUAAAAUCAAACCUACUGGGCUGGGGACGUGGCUCAAGCGGUAGCGCGCUCACCUGGCAUGCGAUCCUCAGCACCACAUACAAACAAAGAUGUUGUGUCUGCCAAAAUCUAAAAAAUAAAUAUUAAAAAAUUCUCUCUCUCUCUCUCUCUCUCUCUCUCUCUCAAAAAAAAAAAAAAAAAUCAAUCCUACUGUCCUUUAGUUCUCUAAACUUCUGUGCUGCCUCCUUUCAAUGAAACCUAACCAAAGUGAGAAGUCAAAGAAGCCCAUUGGUGUGACCUAUGUAGUUCAGCCUCCUAGAAAUCAGAGAAGUAUGUAGAGGCUCAAACAGAAGAUAUCUAGACAAAAUAUCUUGCUUAGUUUUGCCUGUUUAAGUUUAUAGAAAUGGAAUCAUACAGUGUAUAUCUUUUUGCAAUUUGACUUUUGGCUCAUUCAUUAGAGUAGUUCAUGAAUAAACAAGCAGUAGCUUGUUCAUUCAUAAUCAGUUCUGUAUAAUGUCCCUUUGUAUGACCUAAUCACAAUAUAUUUAUCCAAUCUAUAAUUAAUGGACAUUUGGGCUGGUUCCAAGUUUUUAUAUUUCAGAAACAAUACUGCUGUGAAUAUUUUUGUGAGUAUCUCUUAUUACAAGAAUGCAUAUGAUAUAUAUGUAAUUGCUGAAUCAUAGGUGCAAGUUAAACUAUAAUGGAUAAUAAGAAACUAUUUUCCAAAGUCAUACUAUCUACACUGCAACUAGCAUUAAGUGAGGGUUCAUCUUGUUCUACAAUCUAACAUUUGGCAUUGUCAGACUUUCUAAUUUUUUUUUUCUUAAGUGGUGGUUGGGAUCAAACCCAGGGCCUCACAGAUGCUAGGCAAAUUCUCCACCAAUGAACUACACUUCCAGCCCCAGAGGUUGCAAUUUUUUUUUUCAGUGAGAAAUAGUAUCUUAUGGUUUUAAUUUGCAUUUCCUGUUACUAACAUGAUUGAAUGUCUUCUCAUAUGCUUUUUGUUUAUCUAUAUUACCUCUUCUAAGAAAUUAUUUUCCUUACAUUUAUUUUUCUGCUUCUCUUUAGUCAGUUGUAUGUCUUAUAAAUACCUUCUCCCCCUUAGUGCCUUGUUUUUAUAUUCAUUAUGAGGUAUCUUUUGGUGUACACAGUUGUUACUUUUACUGUGUUUGAAUUGGAACUAUUUUCCUUUAUGGUUUGCACUUUUGGUACCUGUAUAAGAAAUCUUUCUCUGCCCUGAAGUCAAACAUAUUUCUUAUUUUGUAUUUCAAAAAUUCCAUUGUUUUACAUUAUACUAUAAACUUGAACACCUUCCUAUAUAAGUCUUGCCAUGGUCUGAAUGUAUGUUCUUCUCUCCCAAAAUUCUUAUGUUGGAACUUAAUAUCCAGUGUGAUAGUAUUAAGAGAUGAAGCCUUUUGAAAAGUGAGAUGAGGCCUUUGCCCUCAUGAAUGGGAUUAGUAUCCCUUUAUUUAAAAAAAAAAAAAAGUGAAGGGAGUGCUCUUGUCUCUUUUUCCUUCCCACCAAGCAAGAACACAGCAUUUGUUCCUCCCAUGUGAGGAUGCAGCAAGAUGCUAUUAUUGAAGCAAAGAAAGCCAGCCCUCACCAAACACUGAAUCUGCCUGCACCUUUAUCUUGGACUUUCCGAAACUGUGAGAAAUAAGUUUCUAUUAUCUAUAAAUUACAUAGUGUAAGGUAUUUUGUUAUAGAAGCUCUAAUAUACUAAGACAAGUCUUAAAUAUACUUAGAAUUGAUGUCUGUGCAUGGUGGAAGGUAGGCAUCAAAGCUAAUUUUUUACCUCAGAGAGAAUCAGUUAUUGAAUAGUCUUUAGCUUUUUAUAACUAAUUUGAAAAUACUUCCUAGGACAAAAAAAGUGUUUUCAUUUUGUAUUAGACUUUUCUUGGAUUCUCUGUGUACUUUUCUAUACCUUUGGAAACUCUAUAGUCUUCAUUUGAGCAUCUCUAUAACAAAUUUUGAUAUCUGGUAGGGCAGAGCUAUCUCAUUCUUUGGAAUUUUCUUGGGUCUUCCAGGAAAGAGCUUAAGUUCCAUGGGGAAAAAAUCUAAUUUAAUUGGAAUUGCAUUGGAUCUAUGCAUAAAUGUGAGGGUAAUGGAUACUUCUAAAGUAUUUUUAUGAUAAAAGUAUAGAUGUGCAUUAUAAAAAGAAAAUAUUGAUAAGCAAAAAGAAAAACAUAAAACAGUCCAACAACCCAGAGACUACCACUAUUAAUAUUGCAGCAUAAUAUAUUCUUCUGUAUUUGUGUGUGUGUGUGUGUGUUGCUGGGGAUAGAACCCAGAGACUUGUUCAUGCUAAGUGUGCACUCUAUCUUUGAGCUAUACCUCUGGCCCCUAGUGUUUUAAUCUUAUGGUAAUUGACAAUCUAUAACAUUAAGUCUCUGUACUAAAGAGGUACACUCUCUGUUUAUUUCAGUCUUUAAUAUCUUUCAAUAAUUUUGUAUAAAAUUCUCCCUAAAAGAUAUGCACAAACUUGUUAGAUUUAUUCCAAGGGACUUUAUAUACUUUUUCUACUUUGAAUUAUACCUUUUAAAAAUUGAUUUGGGACUGGGGAUGUAGCUCAGUAGUAGAGCACUUACCUAGCAUGCACAAGGCCCUGGGCUUAAUUUUUAGCACUAUAAAAUGAAAUGAAAUUAAAUAUAAAGUAAAAUAAAAUAAAAAUAGCUUCUAAAAAAAACAGUGCUCUUUUGUUUAUUACUAUAUGCCCAAUAUAGGCCUUGUGGCUAACAUGCAGUAUGUGCUCAGGAAGUACUUAUUAAUUCAAUGAAUGAAUAAAAAGACCUAGUAAACUGUUGAGUGAUCUAAUGAAAUAUACAUAGGGGACUUACUUGUUAUUUUCUGCUAGCUUACCACAUUAAGGACUUCAGUUUCAGAAGACUUCUAUUUAAUACUAGUUCUCCAGGAAUAAUGACUUAUUAAAUCAUUAUCUUUUAGAUCAUCUUAAUAGAGGAAUAGUUUAAUAGCAUCUAUCCUGUUGUCGGAUCUGAGAGUAUGGUAAUUUUAAUGUUGGGGAAGGCAAAACAUGCUCUAUGACAGCAUGAAGACACUAGUUACCUGUAAAGUGUGAUAGGGUUUUAAUAUUUAUGUCUUCUCCAAAAUUCAUGUAGAAACUGUAUUAAGAGGUGUGGCCUUGGACUGGGGUUGUAACUCAGUGGUAGAGCGCUUGUCGUGCACAUGUGAGGCACUGACUUCAAUCCCCAGCACCACGUAAAAAUAAAUAAAGUAAGGUAUUUAUCUAUCUACAACUUAAAAAAAAAGAGGUGUGGCCUUUAGGAGAUAAUGAGGUCACAUGGGCUCUGCACUCAUGAAUGGGAUCAGGUGCCCUCAUAAACAGGUCUGAUGAAAGCCAGUGGCACAUACCUAUAAUCCCAGCAACUUGGGAAGCUGAGGCUGGAGGAUGGCAAGUUGAAUGCCAGCCUGGGCUACAUAGACUCUGUCUCAAAAUAAAAAAUAAAAAGGGCUGGGGAUAUAGCUCAGUGGUAGAGCAUCCCUGAGUUCAAUCUCCAAUACCAAAACAAAACAAAAAACAGGGCAGGGGGUAGAUUUUGAUGGAGCAAGUUUGCCUUUUUGGCCCCUUCCAUCUCUUCUACCAUGUGAGGAAAUAAGAGUUCCUUCUCUCUAGAGAAUACAGCAAAAAAGUGCCAUCUUGGAAGCAAAGAACAGCCUUGAACAGAUCCCAAUCCUGCGAGAACCUUGAUCUUAGUUUUCCCAGCCUCCAUAACUAUGAAAUAUUUCUGUAUAUUUUUUUUCUUCAUAAAUUACCCAGUCUGUCCAGGUGCAGAAACAUAUGCCUGUAAUCUCAGAGGUUCAGGUGGCUAAGACAGGAGAAUUACAAGUUCAAGAUGAGCCUGAGCAAUUUAGUGAGGCCCUAAGCAAUUUAGUGUCUCAAAAUAAAAAAUUAAAAGGUCUAGGGAUGGGGCUGGGGUUGUGGCUCAGUGUAGAGUGCUCACCUGCCACAGUCUGGCUGGGCACAAAUCACAAGCCACUCAAGAGGAAUAAACUUUAUUUCUGAACUUCACCAGCACACUCCACACAUGCUCCCCGGGAACUCUCCCAAACGCCACCCACACAGUUCCUCCAGGAACUACCAACCGGAAAUCCCUCCUCCGGCACUUCCCCAACCAAUGCAAACUCUCCAGUAAUCCCCAUGAGAACUCCAAAGUAGCGCGAGAACUCCAAAGUAGCGGGGGCGAGGCAGACAGUAAAGGUCUAAUAUACAAUUGAAUCAAUUCAGCAUCAUCUUAAUGGCUCACCUCUCAACCAAUACUAUUGGCAAAAUGCCAGGGGCCAUUCCAACUCGGCUGUGGCCCUCAACAUCUCCCCCCUUCUGUUUAAUUAAACAACAAGCAAUGUGGCUUAGGGACCGUGCCUGUUAGGUUGUCCAAUACUACAUAUGGUUCUUACCCGUCAUUGGAUAAGCUGACCUCAAGGCAUCAGCAUCCUGUCUUAGAUUGGUACCACUGCAAUUGGAUCUUACCCGUCACUGACUACCGGUCCAGCAUACAGCCAUACUUGUGGAUAGGCCUUUGCACCAGUGGGGGGGUGAGGUUCUUUGCCUCACCUCUGUUGGCCCCCAAAUUUGGCCUUGGUGCCAGUGGCGGGGGGUGAGGUUCUUUGCCUCACCUCUGUUGGCCCCCAAAUUUUAGACUAUCACUAGCAGAAGGGAGGAGGAUUCAGAAAUGCCAUGACACCAAGCCAAUUGAUGGCUCCUUUGGAAAAAUUGUACCACCAGUGACACCAUCAGCAAAGAUACUCCAGCACUACCACAAUUCGCUGCACCAACAGAUAGUUCACAAUGCAUACAAGUAAUACAUAGUCCAGGCAAGUUCUGUAAGCAGUUCAAAGCAGAGGAAUCCAUCAAUAUGUCCAUUUCCUACCAAAGUAAAUCGACUACUUGAUUGAGCAUCACUUGUUGAGUUAUUAUUCAUUGAUUCAUCAGUUUAUACAGUUUACUGUGAUAACUAUCAAAGAAGCUGUAGUUUGUUUUUAUCUUUGUCUUCACCGGCACUGGGAUGAAGAUAGGAAUUCUGGCAAUGAUGGCUAAAAAAAAAAUUAUGUAACAUUCCAACAGGUACUAAGAAAACAAUUUUCUGAACAAUUUACAUUAUCCUGAACAGAAUUAUUAAAUAUUGCCACAGUCUGUCUGGGCACAAAUCAUGAGCCACUGAAGCAGGAACAAACUUUAUUUCUGAACUCCACCAGCACACUCCACACACGCUCCCCGGGAACUCUCCCAAACACCAUGCGGCUCCUCCAGGAACCACCAACCAGAAAUCCCUCCUCUGGAAAUCCCUCCUCCAGCACUUCCCCAACCAAUGGGAACUCUCCGGGAAUCCCCACGAAAACUCCAAAGUAGCGCCAGAACUCCAAAGUAGCAGGCCAAGGUGGACAGUAAAGGUCUAAUAUACAACCGAAUCAAUCCAGCAUCAUCUUAAUGGCUUGCCUCUCAACCAAUACUAUUGGCAAAAUGCCAGAGGCCAUUCCAACGUGGCUGUGGCCCUCAGCAUCUCCCCCCUUCUGUUUAAUUAAACAACAAGCAAUGUGGCUUAGGGACCAUGCCUGUUAGGUUGUCCAAUACACAUAUGGUCCUUACCCGUCAUCAGAUGAGCUGACCUCAAGGCGUCAGCCUCCUGUCUUAGGUUGGUACCAUUGCAAUUGGAUCUUACCCGUCACUGACUACUGGUCCAGCAUACAGCCAUACUUGUGGAUAGGCCUAUGCACCAGUGGGGGGGGAGGGGUGAGGUUCUUUGCCUCACCUCUGUUGGCCCCCAAAUUUUAGACCAUCACUAGCAGAAGGGAGGAGGAUUCAGAAAUGCCACGACACCAAGCCAAUUGAUGGCUCCUUUGGAAUAAUUGUACCACCAGUGACACCAUCAGCAAAGAUACUCCAGCACUACCACAAUUCGCUGCACCAACAGAUAGUUCACAAUGUAUACAAGUGAUACAUAGUCCAGGCAAGUUCUGCAAGCAGUUCAAAGCAGAGGAAUCUAUCAGUAUGUCCAUUUCCUCCCCAAGUAAAUUGACUCCUUGAAUGAGCAUCACUUGUUGAGUUAUUAUUCAUUGAUGUAUCAGUUUAUACAGUUUACUGUGAUAGCUAUCGAAGAAGCUGUAGUUUGUUUUUAUCUUUGUCUUCACCGGCACUGGGAUGAAGAUAGGAAUUCUGGCAAUGAUGCUAAAAAAAAUUAUGUAACAUUCCAACAGGUACUAAGAAAACAAUUUUCUGAACAAUUUACAUUAUCCUGAACAGAAUUUUAAAUAUAAUGAAAAGGAAAGGUGAAAGUAAACAAACAGAUCUGUUAACCUCCUUUGAAAACAAUUCUCAACAGCUGUUUACCUAAUUUAAAUUAAACCAUAUAAAUCAUGUGAAUAAAAAAAAUUUUGGAUCCAUUUUUCAUGAGCGCUCCCCAUAUAUGAUAUAUGACAUAUGCACAUACAGACAUACAACACAAAACACAAGUAUGCACACAUAACAUACAACACAUAAGACAAUAGUAGAGGUCUUGUAGCUUUACACAGGUGAAAUCUCCAUUGCAAUGUUUAAAAACUCCACAGUCAAAAAAUAAAACUGAUCAGAAAAACAUUAGCCUAGGUCUGUAUGAGCUCAAAAAAUAAAAUAGAACUUUAUGAUGUGGGAAAGGGCAAUAAUAAAAUAGACAUUGAAAAAAGACAUCCUGGUUACCACCUGAGUUUGACUCUUUUUUGGAUAUCCCAUCCUUUUUCCUGUAACUUGCAUAAUGGGUCUGAAGGUAUUCCCACAAGCAAGCCCCAAGGUUUUUAUAUUUGAAAUAGGCUUUAAUGGUGUUCAUUAUUCAUUAGCCUCCAGGUGUGGGAGAACCACUGUUGCAGAUGUAAGAAUAGCCAAGCUGGAACUCUGGAUAUCAGCUGUUAUGGAUUUCAGUCACAUCAUCUUCUUUUUGGUCUGUAGAAAUCGCUUUGGUUAGUCUCUCUGGAAUCCAAAUCGGCUGCUGUUCUCCCUGUGGAAACACACAAACAGAACUCCGACUCCAGACAAUCACUGGGUCAGGACCUUUCCAUUGUCCUAUUAGAAUAUCCAUCCAAAGUACCUUAGGCU